rnacentral:misc_RNA from 1 species
GAUGAAGAACGUAGCGAAAUGCGAUACGUAAUGUGAAUUGCAAAUUCAGUGAAUCAUCGAGUCUUUGAACGCACAUUGCGCCCCCUGGUAUUCCGGGGGGCAUACCUGUCCGAGCGUCAUUGCUGCCCUCAAGCCCGGCUUGUGUGUUGGGCCCCGUCCCCCGAUCUCCGGGGGACGGGCCCGAAAGGCAGCGGCGGCACCGCGUCCGGUCCUCGAGCGUAUGGGGCUUUGUCACCCGCUCUGUAGGCCCGGCCGGCGCUUGCCGAUCAACCCAAAUUUUUAUCCAGGUUGACCUCGGAUCAGGUAGGGAUACCCGCUGAACUUAAGCAUAUCAAUAAGCGGAGGA